rnacentral:rRNA from 1 species
AGCAGCCGCGGUAAUUCCAGCUCCAAUAGCGUAUAUUAAAGUUGUUGCAGUUAAAAAGCUCGUAGUUGAACUUCGGGGUCUACCCAUUGGUCAGGCUUAAUUGUCUGCACUGGUGGGAUGGAUCUCUACCUUCUGAGGGACUUUCAUGCCAUUUAUUUGGUGUGGUUGGAAAUCAGGACUGUUACUUCGAAAAAAUUAGAGUGUUUAAAGCAGACUAUCGUCUGAAUACAUUAGCAUGGAAUAAUGAAAUAGGACGGACUGAUUCUAUUUCGUUGGUUUCUAGGAUCACCGUAAUGAUUAAUAGGGAUAGUUGGGGGCAUUAGUAUUCAAUUGUCAGAGGUGAAAUUCUUGGAUUUAUUGAAGACUAACUACUGCGAAAGCAUUUGCCAAGGAUGUUUUCAUUAAUCAAGAACGAAAGUUAGGGGAUCGAAGACGAUCAGAUACCGUCGUAGUCUUAACCAUAAACUAUGCCGACUAGGGAUCGGACGAAGUUAAUUUUAUAAUGACGCGUUCGGA